UAAUGUAUGGGGAUCUGCCCGAUAGAGGGGGAUAACUACUGGAAACGGUGGCUAAUACCGCAUAAUGUCUACGGACCAAAGCAGGGGCUCUUUGGACCUUGCACUAUCGGAUGAACCCAUAUGGGAUUAGCUAGUAGGUGGGGUAAAGGCUCACCUAGGCGACGAUCUCUAGCUGGUCUGAGAGGAUGAUCAGCCACACUGGGACUGAGACACGGCCCAG
rnacentral:rRNA from 1 species